rnacentral:lncRNA from 1 species
UUUGUUGUUUUCAAUUAGAAUUGGUUAUGAUUUUUAAAAUUGGUUGUACUUAAAGCUAAUGUUUGUAGUUUGUGAUUCUAAACAUGACUUUUACAUUAAAAUAUAUUAUGAUCAACUCAAUUUUAUAUAAAAUUUAUUUAAAUAUAAAUCACUUCAUCUCAAUUAAUUUUUAUUCAAAAUCAAUUUUACAGAAAUAGUUUAUUUUAAAUCAAUUUCUUCAUUGCAAAACCAAAUACAUAGUUAAAAAUCUUACCUACAAUAGCUUAACAAGUGUUGAU